GAGGGACCCAUGUUGAAUCAUUAUAAAACUAGUAAAGAUAUAACAAUCAAGAAUUUCAAAAUUGUGCUAGGUUUGGGGAAUCAGUCAAAUAUUUAUCUUGAUGCAUAUCAACAACUGCUGUAUCCAAGCCUAUGUGGUAUUCAGGACUUCCUCCUCAUAGACACACAUUAGAUUGAAUUCUUUUGAUUAUUUGCCUAAGCCUUCUUGUUCUAGAGGGAGUAUAGAUGUAGCAGUUGUGGGGAAAGGGUUAGGACUAUCAUAAUGGACUCAUUAUCAACUUAACUGUAAAGAUAGCCAUCCAUGGUUCUUGUCUUCCUGAUAUGAACAGUUAACAGGCACUGGGAGGUCCGUUACUGGACCUUUUUAUUGUGUCAU
rnacentral:misc_RNA from 1 species